rnacentral:rRNA from 1 species
UACGAGGGGGGCGAGCGUUGUUCGGAAUUAUUGGGCGUAAAGGGUGCGUAGGCGGUUUGGUAAGUCUGAUGUGAAAUCUAUGGGCUCAACUCAUAGUCUGCAUCGGAAACUGCCGGGCUUGAGUAUGGGAGAGGUGAGUGGAAUUCCUGGUGUAGCGGUGAAAUGCGCAGAUAUCAGGAGGAACACCAAUUGCGAAGGCAGCUCGCUGGUACGUAACUGACGCUGAGACGCGAAAGCGUGGGGAGCAAACAGG